rnacentral:rRNA from 1 species
GUGGGGAAUCUUCCGCAAUGGACGAAAGUCUGACGGAGCAACGCCGCGUGAGUGAAGAAGGUUUUCGGAUCGUAAAGCUCUUUCGUUAGGGACGAACGUGCUCUUUGUGAAUAAUGAGGAGUAAUGACGGUACCUAAAUAAGAAGCCACGGCUAACUACGUGCCAGCAGCCGCGGUAAUACGUAGGUGGCAAGCGUUGUCCGGAAUUAUUUGGCGUAAAGCGCGCGCAGGCGGGAUAUCAAGUCUGGCUUAAAAGUGCGAGGCUCAACCUCGUGAGGGGACAGAAACUGGUAUUCUCGAGUGUCGGAGAGGAAAGUGGAAUUCCAAGUGUAGCGGUGAAAUGCGUAGAGAUUUGGAAGAACACCAGUGGCGAAGGCGACUUUCUGGACGAUGUCUGACGCUGAGGCGCGAAAGCUAGGGGAGCGAACGGGAUUAGAUACCCUAGUAGUCC